ensembl:lncRNA
CUCUCUUGGAAGCUGUCCUGCAGCUGCCUGAGCCCCUUGUCUCAGGGACAGCCCCAAGUGGCUGGCUGCUAGCCAGACGUCGUUGGCCCAUGGCGCUUUUGCUUUGGUAGUGGAAGAAACUAGGUUUAGGACAUAGGAAGACGUCUCUUGACACAAUUGGAAACACUGGUUAUAUUACCAAGACUUUGACUGGAAUAUCAUAUUUAAAAAGAACAUACAGGCUUGGAUAUAACACGACAGCUUUUGAGGAAUGAAGGUUGACAUUCUGGAAUAAAGCCACUUGGAAAUAUUGGCCUGGUACUGUGCUUAUGGGUUCUGUAACCUGGUAAGGUUGAGCAAAGAAUGUCGCUCCCUCUGGCAGGUACCAGGAACCUCAACGUUUUGGGGAACCUCAUGAAGAGAGAGAUUCACCCAAAUCUGCAGCCUUACAAACUGAAGCUCGAAGACCCAAUAUAAACUUAAGAGGGAUUCAUGUCUACUGCUGUGUAAGCCACUCAAAAAGCUACCUGAGUGCCCAAUGGCACCAUGAGAGACAUUUCAAACUGCAAAAGAUUCUUCGACCCUGACUUCUAGAAAUCUUGAUUGGCUGCCCCCAGGCUCAGAAACUGGUUCAUAAUUUGCUCCAAUCAUUAACCUUGUUUUUCUCUUUUUGUUUCUCUAGAAAAACUUCUUAUUAAAUACCUGGUUACUUACUUACAUGAUACAGGCCCACCUUCAGGAGCCCGCCAGCAUCACUGCCUUAUUAAAAGACUGGUUCAAUGAGAGGAAACAACCUACGCCCCAUUUCAGCAGGAAGUAGCUAGAUUGGUCGCCGCCCCAAAUCCCUCAAGAUUGAGGGACGGACAUAAAAUAGGGGGGAGUUGAUAUCGACCCUGAUAUCAGUUUCCCCACACUAAACCCAGCAUAUAUGGGGUUAAAACCAAAACACUCAUUCCCUGCUUACUCUCUGGCUUCCUGGCUCCAGAAUCCACUAUGCUGCAUGGAGACAGACACCGUCAAGGACAAGCACCUGGACUAUCUCCUCCCCACAAAGAGAUACAGACUGGUGGGAAAGCUUCUGACCAGCAAGGUCAUGAGCUCCCUCCUCUCUGCAAGUGUCUCAAGGCCAAAGACAGGCUGGUGGGAAAGCUCCGACCAGCAAGGCCCUAUGCUCCCCCUCCCCUACCGAAAACCCCAAAUAAAAACCCUUCCUUUUAGCUUUUUCGGGGAGUUUGGGAUUUCAGUGUUAGCUGCCCUCUCUCCUUGCUCAGUGCUGUGCAAAAAAGAAAGUUCCUACUUUCUUCCACCACCCCUGGUGUCAGAGAUUGGCUUGCUGCAUGAUGGGUGAGUGAACUCACUUCAGGUUCGGUAACAUUUCUAAAUAUCAGACCAUCUACAAGGCUGAUUUGGUGGAUAAGGUGAAUCCACAUUUAUUCAACAAUUAGGGUGCUGUGUUAUAAAUGUUGUGUUUAAGCCAGGUAUGUAAGAACAAAUAAUUAUUUGGAACACGUUUUUUUAAUAGUGAAAGACAAAAAGAAGAAAGGAGGGGGCCCCCUUAAGAAUUGUAAAGAUUGAAAUGUUUUGAAUUACAGGACACUCUCAGGAUUAUUCAUAACAUAGUAAAGUAAUAAUUUUUAUUUUGA